GGUGCAAGUGUGGUAGCGAUGAAUAACAAAAUAGAGCAAACUAUGGAUCUGGUGAAAAGCCAUUUGAUGUAUGCAGUUAGAGAGGAAGUGGAGGUUCUGAAGGAACAGAUCAGAGAACUAAUAGAGAAAAACUCCCAGCUGGAGCAGGAGAACAAUCUGUUGAAAACACUGGCCAGUCCGGAGCAGCUCGCCCAGUUUCAGGCCCAGCUGCAGACUGGCUCCCCUCGGUCCACCACGCAGCCACAGGGGACCACACAGCCCCCUGCGCAGCCAGCAUCCCAGGGCUCAGGAUCAACCAUGCCCCAACAGAACUGGCUGCUGUUGUCUGGUCUGAACAGAUGGAAGAAGAAGAUGUGCUAGCGAGAAGCCACCUUCACAGUCACCCAUUUCAUUGCUGCCUACGAAAGAGAUGUGAGACUCACACACUGAUCUCGCUUUCUCCCCAGUACUAAGCACUCAUAUGCUUUUGGCUUGAAGAAAUGUACUAGUUGAGUGAAUUAAAGGUUAAUCGGAGAGUGAGCAUGGAUGUACCCUGUGCGCCUUGGCAGAUGUCUGAGGAAUGGUUUAAUUGUCGCUGAGGAGCUGUGUGCCUUUUCAACCCUCC